CUACGGGUUGCAGCAGUGGGGAAUAUUGCACAAUGGAGGAAACUCUGAUGCAGCAACGCCGCGUGGAGGAUGACACUUUUCGGAGCGUAAACUCCUUUUAUAUAGGAAGAAGAUGACGGUACUAUAUGAAUAAGCGCCGGCUAACUCCGUGCCAGCAGCCGCGGUAAUACGGAGGGCGCAAGCGUUACUCAGGAAUCACUGGGCGUAAAGAGCGUGUAGGCGGAUUAAAAAGUCAGAAGUGAAAUCCUAUAGCUUAACUAUAGAACUGCUUCUGAAACUCUUAAUCUAGAAUAUGGGAGAGGUAGAUGGAAUUUCAGGUGUAGGGGUAAAAUCCGUAGAGAUCAGAAGGAAUACCGAUUGCGAAGGCGAUCUACUAGAACAUUAUUGACGCUGAGACGCGAAAGCGUGGGGAGCAAACAGGAUUAGAUACCCGCGUAGUC
rnacentral:rRNA from 1 species